UACGGGGGGGGCAAGCGUUGUUCGGAAUUACUGGGCGUAAAGGGUUCGUAGGUGGUCAACUAAGUCAGACGUGAAAUCCCUCAGCUUAACUGGGGAACUGCGUCUGAUACUGGUCGACUUGAGUGCAGGAGAGGAACGCGGAAUUCCAGGUGUAGCGGUGAAAUGCGUAGAUAUCUGGAGGAACACCGUUGGCGAAGGCGGCGUUCUGGACUGCAACUGACACUGAGGAACGAAAGCCAGGGGAGCAAACGGG
rnacentral:rRNA from 1 species